rnacentral:rRNA from 1 species
AGCAGUAGCCGCGGUAAUACGAGGGGUGCAAGCGUUAUUCGGAUUGAUUGGGUGUAAAGGGUGUGCAGACGGCUUAUUAAGUCACUUGUUAAAUUCUUCGGCCUAACUGAAGGUCUGCAAGUGAUACUGAUGAGCUAGAGGGUGGAAGAGAGAAGUGGAAUUCUCGGAGUAGCGGUAAAAUGCGUAGAUCUCGAGAGGAACACCAAUGGCGAAGGCAGCUUCUUGGUCCAUUCCUGACGUUCAUACACGAAAGCGUGGGGAGCAAACAGGAUUAGAUACCCGCGUAGUCCCUGUCUCUUAUAC